rnacentral:rRNA from 1 species
AUGAACGCUAGCUAUAGGCUUAACACAUGCAAGUCGAGGGGAAACGGCAUUAUGUGCUUGCCCAUUUUGGACGUCGACCGGCGCACGGGUGAGUAUCGCGUAUCCAACCUGCCCUUUACUUGGGGAUACCCCGUUGAAAGACGGCCUAAUACCCGAUGUAAUUCAUUGAUGGCAUCAGAUAUGAAUAAAAGAUUUAUCGGUAAAGGAUGGGGAUGCGUCUGAUUAGCUUGUUGGUGAGGUAACGGCUCACCAAGGCGACGAUCAGUAGGGGUUCUGAGAGGAAGGUCCCCCACAUUGGAACUGAGACACGGUCCAAACUCCUACGGGAGGCAGCAGUGAGGAAUAGUGGUCAAUGGGCGCAAGCCUGAACCAGCCAAGUAGCGUGCAGGAAGACGGCCCUAUGGGUUGUAAACUGCUUUUAUACGAGAAUAAUUUGAUGCACGUGUGCGUUAUUGCAUGUAUCGUAUGAAUAAGGACCGGCUAAUUCCGUG